rnacentral:lncRNA from 1 species
UCAUCUUUGAAGCAUCCAAGAGUGAUUGAGAAACCUUCAAGGGAUGACUUCAAAUCAGUGGGUACCGUAUACAGAGGGAUUCUAUGGAGGCACGUUGGGCCAACAGGUGUGGUCAUCGUGCGAUGCUGUUUGAGUGGAACCACAAAGUUGGACAAUCGGAUAGCUGGUGCUCAAAUGUCCUUGAUUGUGGGGAACCGUCAGUUCGUUAGAAACUCUGUUAGCAGUAUGUUGGCAACUAUGGUCAGAAGAGAGCAUGGACUUGACAAGGACGUCAAGCAAGGUUGGUGAAGUGCAUCA